rnacentral:rRNA from 1 species
AACGCAGCGAAGGGCGAUACGUAAUGUGAAUUGCAGAAUUCAGUGAAUCAUCGAAUCUUUGAACGCACCUUGCGCCCCUUGGCAUUCCGAGGGGCACACCCGUUUGAGUGUCGUGAAAUUCUCAAAACCCUUUCUUUUUGGUCAUUUUUGACCAUCGAAAGGGUCUUGGACUUGGAGGCCUUUUUGCUGGUUUCACCUUGAAGCGAGCUCCUCCCAAACGUAUUAGUGGGGUCUGCAUUGUCGGUCCUUGGCGUGAUAAGUUGUUUCUACGUCUUGGAUUUUUUGGCGCUGUACACCUGCUUCUAACCGUCUUCAUUGACAACGAUGGUGUUCCGGUCGCCGCCGAUUUUUCGGUGGGAGGCUUGACCCACGAAACAAACCUUGACCUCAAAUCGGGUGAGACUACCCGCUGAACUUAA